UACAGAGGGGGCAAGCGUUGUUCGGAAUUACUGGGCGUAAAGGGCGCGUAGGCGGCCUGCUAAGUCGAACGUGAAAUCCCCGGGCUCAACCCGGGAACUGCGUCCGAUACUGGCAGGCUUGAAUCCGGGAGAGGGAUGCGGAAUUCCAGGUGUAGCGGUGAAAUGCGUAGAUAUCUGGAGGAACACCGGUGGCGAAGGCGGCAUCCUGGACCGGUAUUGACGCUGAGGAGCGAAAGCUAGGGGAGCAAACGGG
rnacentral:rRNA from 1 species